AGCAUCUCAAACCUAAUUCUCCACUAUAAAACAACAAUAGCAUAUCAGAGAAAGAGGACAUUACAAAACCGUAACAGACUCUACAACAAGAACACUGAUAAACCUUGGUGAGAAAACCAGAAUCAUGUUGUUAACUACAAAACCCCAUUCACGAAGUCAUAUACACACAGCAAAAUAAUUAGAACCUAAUUAGAACAACAACAACGGUGUAAGCAUAGAAGAAGAAUACGGGCAUAAAAGAAAGCUAAAGAGAGACGAAGGAUUUACCCGAACAUUUUCGUCCCUCCAAGAACUUUUGGAGAGGUUUGGAAUCCCCUAAGUGUUGAUUAGUGAUAGGGGACACACUUUUGCAACAAAUACUUAGAGAGUGUGUUGGUCAACUAUAAUGUGAAGCAUAAAGUGUCCAUGUCACCCUCAAACAUGCUGACAAGUGGAAGUUUCGAACGGGAAGCUUAAGCAAAUUUUAGAAAAGAUAGUAUCUACAUCCAUAAAGGGUUGGUCAAAAAAGCUAGUCAAUGUUGUAUGGGUUUAUAAAACAACAUUUAAGAGUCGUCUCAGAUUAUCACCAUAUAUUUUGGUUUAUGGGAAGGAUUGUCAUCUACUCGUGGAGUUGGAACAUAAAGCAUAUUGAGCACUCAAGUUCUUGAAUUUACAUCAAAAAGCAGCAGGGUGAAAGAGAUUGUUGAAGUUGGAUGAUUUAGAAGAGUUUAGAUUGAGAGCAUGUGAGAAUGGUGUGAUCUAUAAAGAGAGAACCAAAAGGUAUCAUGAUAAGAAAUUAGUGAAAAGAGAGUUUCAGGUAGGACAUUAGGUUUUAUUAUACAACUCUCGACUAAAGUUGUUUCUAGGAAAGUUAAAAUCAAGAUGGUCUGGAACAUUUAUUGUGAAUAAGGUGUUUGCAAAUGGAGAUGUAAAAAUAAAAGAUCUGGAAUAUUUGCACAUUUAUUAU